rnacentral:rRNA from 1 species
UACGUAGGGUGCAAGCGUUGUCCGGAAUUAUUGGGCGUAAAGAGCUCGUAGGCGGUUUGUUGCGUCGGCUGUGAAAUCCCGAGGCUCAACCUCGGGUCUGCAGUCGAUACGAGCAAACUAGAGUGUUGCAGGGGAGACUGGAAUUCCUGGUGUAGCGGUGAAAUGCGCAGAUAUCAGGAGGAACACCGGUGGCGAAGGCGGGUCUCUGGGCCAUAACUGACGCUGAGAAGCGAAAGCAUGGGGAGCGAACAGG